rnacentral:rRNA from 1 species
UACGAAGGGGGCGAGCGUUGUUCGGAUUUACUGGGCGUAAAGGGCGCGCAGGCGGUCUUGAAAGUCAGGCGUGAAAGCCCCGGGCUUAACCUGGGAAUUGCGCUUGAUACUCUGAGACUGGAGUACGGGAGAGGAGAGUGGAAUUCCCAGUGUAGAGGUGAAAUUCGUAGAUAUUGGGAAGAACACCAGUGGCGAAGGCGGCUCUCUGGACCGUAACUGGCGCUGAGGCGCGAAAGCGUGGGGAGCAAACAGG